rnacentral:lncRNA from 1 species
UCUUCCCACAGGCUGCUCCGGGAUCCAGGCCUCGCUCCCUCCCACCAUGUUACUGCGGAAAUCCUCCCGCGUUCUCAACUCACCAUGCAGCUCCAGUUCCUCCCUGGUGCAGCCGCAGGGCUCACGGACCAGCUCCAGCCCCUCCGUGGCGCAGGAGGUUGCGGAGAUGGGCUCCCUGCCAGCCUCUGGGGUGCCAGACGUCCUGCAGCCAAGCGACCCCGGAAAGACGCCAGCAGAGAUGGAGAGAGCCUGGCUGAGAGAAACCCAGAGCCCAGCAACCUCUUUGAGGUGGUGAGGCUGGCGAAGAGUGCCAUGGAGGUAACCACGCUCUCUUCACUGCCCGGGUUCCACCCUCUC